rnacentral:rRNA from 1 species
UACGUAGGUGACCAGCGUUGUCCGGAUUUACUGGGCGUAAAGAGCGCGCAGGCGGUCGUUCAAGUCGAGUGUGAAAGCCCCCCGGCUCAACUGGGGAGGGUCACUCGAUACUGAUCGACUUGAAGGCAGGAGAGGGAAGCGGAAUUCCCGGUGUAGUGGUGAAAUGCGUAGAUAUCUGGAGGAACACCGAUGGCGAAGGCAGGUCUCUGGGCCACUACUGACGCUGAGAAGCGAAAGCAUGGGGAGCGAACAGG